rnacentral:tRNA from 2 species
GCGGUCGUGGCGGAACUGGUAGACGCGCUAGCUUGAGGUGCUAGUGGGGAGACCCGUGGAGGUUCGAGUCCUCUCGACCGCACCA